UUUUUCUUUCUAGCAACUAAACUUUAUUUUUUUUCUUUUUUUAUUCAAUUGAACGGAUCUCUUGCUUCUUCUUCUUCUUCUUACUCACAAUUAUUACCACCACUAAAAUGGUCCCCUCUUAUUUUCUAAAAUUUCUCAAAAAAAUAAAAAUAAAGAAGCUAAAAAAGAAGCAAUACACUGUUACUUGAUUCUUGUUCUCAUCAAAACAUCAAAACAUGGACUUUACUUCUUUUGAAUUCACCUAAUAUAUCUUCUUUAUCGAUGUUUGACAUAUCUCUGUAAUGUACAACAAGAGAUAAUUUUGUUUUCCUACAACAUUGGUUUAGAAAGUUUCGACAGUACAAGAAAAAUGAGUUCUUCAUCACUAGGUAGAGAUAUUCAGGCCACUUUGCUCCCCAACUCGCAGAUCUCAUUAUACAAACCAAAACCAACAUCAAUUUAAAGAGAAUAGCUAUAGAGAAUCCCCUUCUAGAGUAUAACACAAAUGACAACUUCAAAGGAAAAUUUUUGUGGUUUCAUAGGUUGAUUUCAGAUUCAACCUAUGAAUUACUCACAAAAUUUUGCAACUAUUCCCGUAUUAUGAAGGAGUAUCAAAGUGGUAUAGUUAGUACCACUUGUUUAGAGGUUGACAAGCAAUUGGCAUGAGAGGUUGGUAGCUUCAUGGAUGAUUUUGAUGUUAUGCAAGAAGUCUGCCUACCCCAAAUGUGUCGGAUACAUUGCAAGAAGAAAAGAAGAGAGCUUUUUUUCCCGAUGAAAAAGUAUUUACAUACUUAAACAGAAAAUAAGUACAAAAAGCUCUACAAGCUAGAAUAGGCCAUGGCAAUCUUGCAGAGUUCUCGGGUAUGACUUCAAGAGUGUUUAUAAUCCAAUCAUAUCUCUAUUAGGAACACCUAUUAAAUUAGGUGUAAGAGUUAUGGUAUAUAGUGGAGAUCAAGAAUUUGUCAUUCCAUUUCUUGGCACACAAUUUUUAUUAAAUGGAUUAGCCAAGUAACUUGGAUUGAACAUGUAACUUGGAUUGAACAUAUCAGAGUCCUUUAGACCAUGGUACAUUGGAAGUGGAAGUGAAAGUGAAAUAAAGUUGCGCAGUCUAUCCAAGUUUACGGUGGUGACAUUUUAUCAUUUGUCACCGUAAAAGGAGCUAAUCAUUCGACAGCUUCUUCACAGCCCAAACAAGCAUAUGUGUUAUUUAAAUUAUUUUUAAAAAGAAAAUCCCUACCAAAAUUUCAGAUGUAAAUCUAUUAUGUAACACAUAUUUUUUAUUUAAUGAAUGUUAUAUAUUUUAUGAGCAUUAUGUAACAAGCAAUUAAUUUGCUUAUUUGCUCAUAUUAAUUU